rnacentral:rRNA from 1 species
AGCGUACACGGUGGAUGCCCUGGCAGUCAGAGGCGAUGAAGGACGUGCUAAUCUGCGAAAAGCGUCGGUAAGGUGAUAUGAACCGUUACAGCCGGCGAUGUCCGAAUGGGGAAACCCAGUGCAAUUCGUUGCACUAUCGUUAACUGAAUACAUAGGUUAACGAGGCGAACCGGGGGAACUGAAACAUCUAAGUACCCCGAGGAAAAGAAAUCAACCGAGAUUCCCCCAGUAGCGGCGAGCGAACGGGGAGCAGCCCGGAGUCUGAAUCAGCUUGUGUGUUAGUGGAAGCGUCUGGAAAGUCGCAGGGUACAGGGUGAUACUCCCGUACACUAAAACACACAGGCUGUGAACUCGAAGAGUAGGGCGGGACACGUGGUAUCCUGUCUGAAUAUGGGGGGACCAUCCUCCAAGGCUAAAUACUCCUGACUGACCGAUAGUGAACCAGUACCGUGAGGGAAAGGCGAAAAGAACCCCGGCGAGGGGAGUGAAAAAGAACCUGAAACCGUGUACGUACAAGCAGUAGGAGCCCACUAGUUGGGUGACUGCGUACCUUUUGUAUAAUGGGUCAGCGACUUAUAUUCUGUAGCAAGGUUAACCGAAUAGGGGAGCCGCAGGGAAACCGAGUCUUAACUGGGCGUUAAGUUGCAGGGUAUAGACCCGAAACCCGGUGAUCUAGCCAUGGGCAGGUUGAAGGUUGGGUAACACUAACUGGAGGACCGAACCGACUAAUGUUGAAAAAUUAGCGGAUGACUUGUGGCUGGGGGUGAAAGGCCAAUCAAACCGGGAGAUAGCUGGUUCUCCCCGAAAGCUAUUUAGGUAGCGCCUCGUGAACUCAUCUUCGGGGGUAGAGCACUGUUUCGGCUAGGGGGUCAUCCCGACUUACCAACCCGAUGCAAACUACGAAUACCGAAGAAUGUUAUCACGGGAGACACACGGCGGGUGCUAACGUCCGUCGUGAAGAGGGAAACAACCCAGACCGCCAGCUAAGGUCCCAAAGUCAUGGUUAAGUGGGAAACGAUGUGGGAAGGCCCAGACAGCCAGGAUGUUGGCUUAGAAGCAGCCAUCAUUUAAAGAAAGCGUAAUAGCUCACUGGUCGAGUCGGCCUGCGCGGAAGAUGUAACGGGGCUAAACCAUGCACCGAAGCUGCGGCAGCGACACUAUGUGUUGUUGGGUAGGGGAGCGUUCUGUAAGCCGUUGAAGGUGGCCUGUGAGGGUUGCUGGAGGUAUCAGAAGUGCGAAUGCUGACAUAAGUAACGAUAAUGCGGGUGAAAAACCCGCACGCCGGAAGACCAAGGGUUCCUGUCCAACGUUAAUCGGGGCAGGGUGAGUCGACCCCUAAGGCGAGGCCGAAAGGCGUAGUCGAUGGGAAACAGGUUAAUAUUCCUGUACUUGGUGUUACUGCGAAGGGGGGACGGAGAAGGCUAUGUUGGCCGGGCGACGGUUGUCCCGGUUUAAGCAUGUAGGCGGAUGUUCCAGGUAAAUCCGGAACGUCACUAACGCUGAGGUGUGAUGACGAGGCACUACGGUGCUGAAGUGACAAAUGCCCUGCUUCCAGGAAAAGCCUCUAAGCAUCAGGUAACAUCAAAUCGUACCCCAAACCGACACAGGUGGUCAGGUAGAGAAUACCAAGGCGCUUGAGAGAACUCGGGUGAAGGAACUAGGCAAAAUGGUGCCGUAACUUCGGGAGAAGGCACGCUGAUGGUAAGUGAAGUGACUUGCUCAUGGAGCUGAAAUCAGUCGAAGAUACCAGCUGGCUGCAACUGUUUAUUAAAAACACAGCACUGUGCAAACACGAAAGUGGACGUAUACGGUGUGACGCCUGCCCGGUGCCGGAAGGUUAAUUGAUGGGGUUAUCCUCGCGGAGAAGCUCUUGAUCGAAGCCCCGGUAAACGGCGGCCGUAACUAUAACGGUCCUAAGGUAGCGAAAUUCCUUGUCGGGUAAGUUCCGACCUGCACGAAUGGCGUAAUGAUGGCCAGGCUGUCUCCACCCGAGACUCAGUGAAAUUGAACUCGCUGUGAAGAUGCAGUGUACCCGCGGCAAGACGGAAAGACCCCGUGAACCUUUACUAUAGCUUGACACUGAACACUGGUCCUUGAUGUGUAGGAUAGGUGGGAGGCUUUGAAGUGUGGACGCCAGUCUGCAUGGAGCCAUCCUUGAAAUACCACCCUUUAAUGGCUGGUGUUCUAACGUGGGCCCGUAAUCCGGGUUGCGGACAGUGUCUGGUGGGUAGUUUGACUGGGGCGGUCUCCUCCUAAAGAGUAACGGAGGAGCACGAAGGUCAGCUAAUCCUGGUCGGACAUCAGGAGGUUAGUGCAAUGGCAUAAGCUGGCUUGACUGCGAGCGUGACGGCGCGAGCAGGUGCGAAAGCAGGUCAUAGUGAUCCGGUGGUUCUGAAUGGAAGGGCCAUCGCUCAACGGAUAAAAGGUACUCCGGGGAUAACAGGCUGAUACCGCCCAAGAGUUCAUAUCGACGGCGGUGUUUGGCACCUCGAUGUCGGCUCAUCACAUCCUGGGGCUGAAGUAGGUCCCAAGGGUAUGGCUGUUCGCCAUUUAAAGUGGUACGCGAGCUGGGUUUAGAACGUCGUGAGACAGUUCGGUCCCUAUCUGCCGUGGGCGCUGGAGAAUUGAGGGGGGCUGCUCCUAGUACGAGAGGACCGGAGUGGACGCAUCACUGGUGUUCGGGUUGUCAUGCCAAUGGCAUUGCCCGGUAGCUAAAUGCGGAA